AUGGACGCGGUGGAGUCCUCGUCACCACACUCGCCGCCCUCGUUGCGCCACAAGCUGCGGACCACCGUGUGCGGCUGCUUCGGCUCGCCGUCCUCACGGGGCAGCAGCGGGGAAAGGCCGCAAAAUGGCGGCAGGGCCAGAUGGAGGAGGCGCGUGGCGGCCGCGGGGGAGUUCAGGUACGACCCGCUCAGCUACGCGCUCAACUUCGACGACGGAAGCAGCAACGACGGCGCGGAGGCAGAGGAUGCGGCCUUCCGGUACAGGAACUUCAGCUCGCGCCUACCUCCCUCGCUGGUGCCGGCCUCCCGAGCCUGA
rnacentral:rRNA from 1 species